rnacentral:rRNA from 1 species
UGCCGGCGACCGGCGGACGGGUGCGUAACGCGUAUGUAACCUACCUUUGACAGGGGGAUAACAUCGAGAAAUUGGUACUAAUACCCCAUAACAUCACCGGAGGCAUCUUCGGUGGUUGAAAACUCAGGUGGUCAGAGAUGGACAUGCGUUGUAUUAGCUAGUUGGUGAGGUAACGGCUCACCGAGGCGACGAUACAUAGGGGGACUGAGAGGUCAACCCCCCACAUUGGUACUGAGACACGGACCAAACUCCUACGGAAGGCAGCAG